rnacentral:rRNA from 1 species
GUUGUAUGGUUAAGUGACUAAGCGUAGACGGUGGAUGCCUUGGCAGUCAGAGGCGAUGAAGGACGUAUUAACUUGCGAAAAGCCCAGAUAAGGCAGUAAAAGCCAUUUGAAUCUGGGAUAUCCGAAUGGGGAAACCCACCUGCAUAAGCAGGUAUCUUAGCGUGAAUACAUAGCGCUAAGAGGCGAACUCGGGGAACUGAAACAUCUAAGUACCCGAAGGAAAAGAAAUCAAUUGAGAUUCCGGCAGUAGCGGCGAGCGACCCCGGAUUAGCCCUUAAGUAGACUUGGCGUUAGGUGAACAGGUUGGAAAACCUGGCAAUAAAGGGUGAUAGCCCCGUAACCGACGGCGCCAUAUUUGUGAAAACGAGUAGGACGGGACACGUGAUAUCUUGUCUGAACAUGGGGGGACCAUCCUCCAAGGCUAAAUACUCCUGACUGACCGAUAGUGAACCAGUACCGUGAGGGAAAGGCGAAAAGAACCCCUGUGAGGGGAGUGAAAUAGAACCUGAAACCGUCUACGUACAAGCAGUGGGAGCCUCCUUUGUGGGGUGACCGCGUACCUUUUGUAUAAUGGGUCAGCGACUUAAUGUUAGUAGCAAGGUUAACCGCAUAGGGGAGCCGUAGGGAAACCGAGUCUUAACUGGGCGUAYAGUUGCUWGCAUUAGACCCGAAACCGAGUGAUCUAGCCAUGGGCAGGUUGAAGGUUGAGUAACAUCAACUGGAGGACCGAACUCACUAACGUUGAAAAGUUAGGAGAUGACCUGUGGCUAGGGGUGAAAGGCCAAUCAAACUCGGAGAUAGCUGGUUCUCCCCGAAAGCUAUUUAGGUAGCGCCUCGGACGAACACUACUGGGGGU